rnacentral:tRNA from 1 species
GUCCCUGUAGUAUAAACAAUUACCCUGGUCUUGUAAACCAAAAAUGGAGAACCUCUNU